CAAAUGAAAGGUAAGGACUCCA
rnacentral:piRNA from 1 species